GACGUAGGGCGCGAGCGUUGUCCGGAUUUAUUGGGCGUAAAGAGCUCGUAGGCGGCUUGUCGCGUCGGCUGUGAAAACCCGUGGCUCAACUGUGGGCGGGCAGCUGAUACGGGCAGGCUGGAGUUCGGUAGGGGAGACUGGAAUUCCUGGUGUAGCGGUGAAAUGCGCAGAUAUCAGGAGGAACACCUAUUGCGAAGGCAGCUCGCUGGGACGUAACUGACGCUGAGACGCGAAAGCGUGGGGAGCAAACAGG
rnacentral:rRNA from 1 species